GCUGCAUUCACAAACAACCCCGACUCCAAGGUCUAACCCAGGAAGGCACUGACAUUUCUGCACCUCCACCCCAACGGGCCUUUCACCCUCUUUGGGCCAUGUCAGCAUUACCGUACUCAUUGCUGGACUUGGAAUGGAGCAGCACCUUCGCGGAACGACCUGAACACCACAUUGCCUAGUAACCAAAUGGUCACAGGCUUCGGUGCUGGGCUUUUCCCUGUUCACUCGCCGUUACUAAGGGAAUCCUUGUUAGUUUCUUUUCCUCCGCUUAGUGAUAUGCUUAAGUUCAGCGGGUAAUC
rnacentral:rRNA from 1 species